CCCCUCCGCAACCAAAUCGAAGCAGAGCAGCAGCAGAGAAGAGGAGGCUCUACAUUGGAAGGCUCUCUGAAACUUGAUGAGGACAGGUCAGUGCUGCCAUUCAUGCGUAAUUGCAUUCAUUUAUUCUUAUGUCAGGGUAUAGACAUAAAAGACCUUACAGAUUAGAGAUCCUACACCAUGAAUUACAUGUCAAUAUAUAGUUUGAUCAGAUUUUGAGGGUACAGUUGGUUGUGAGCAUGCAAUGCUAUUACACAAUUCUGAAACCUGACAAAAUUCAAGUUGCACAUUCCACUAUCCCAGCAGCAGGAGGUCUCAUGAAAUUCAGACAAUUCAGAAUUUCUUCCACCUAAUGGCAGUUCAUGCAAAGAUGAUGGACAUGGACCGCAAGGGACAAACAUGUUGCCAUGAGUGCUCCCGUCUUUCACUAAACAGUGUAGGUGCACCUUGACACAAACCCGGCCUCUUUCUUUUCAGCUGAGAAGUGGAUGACUUUGUAUACGGGAGGAAGGCUUCGUAGUCGUAGCUAUGCUGGAACGUUCAUUCUUUGGCGCAGAAGCAGCAGGACCUGAAGAUGAGUAAGCCACACUUCCCCCUGAUGGUGCCCUCGC
rnacentral:lncRNA from 1 species